rnacentral:rRNA from 1 species
CAGUCGCCGCGGUAAUACGAAGGGUGCGAGCGUUAAUCGGAAUUACUGGGCGUAAAGCGUACGCAGGCGGUUUGUUAAGUCAGAUGUGAAAUCCCCGAGCUUAACUCGGGAACUGCAUUUGAAACUGGCAAGCUAGAGUCUCGUAGAGGGGGGUAGAAUUCCAGGUGUAGCGGUGAAAUGCGUAGAGAUCUGGAGGAAUACCGGUGGCGAAGGCGGCCCCCUGGACGAAGACUGACGCUCAGGUACGAAAGCGUUGGGAGCAAACAGGAUUAGAUACCCCCUAGUCCCUGUCUCUUAUACA